rnacentral:rRNA from 1 species
CGCCCAAUAGCUAGCCCACUCACUAACAAGCAACAUACCACCAUAACUAACCCCUCAUACACCAGACAAAAUUAAACAAACCAUUUUUCCCCCUAAGUAUGGGUGACAGAAAAGGAACAUUAGAGCAAUAGAGAAAGUACCGCAAGGGAAAGCUGAAAGAGAAAUGAAACAACCCAGUUAAGCCUAAAGAAGCAGAGACUAGACCUCGUACCUUUUGCAUCAUGAACUAGCGAGAAUAACCAGGCGAAAAGAUUUUUAGUCUGAUGUCCCGAAACCAAGUGAGCUACUCCAAGACAGCCUAUAACAAGGGCAAACCCGUCUCUGUGGCAAAAGAGUGGGAAGAGCUUUGAGUAGAGGUGACAGACCUAUCGAACUUGGUCAUAGCUGGUUGCCUGAGAAAUGGAUAGAAGUUCAGCCUUUUAAGUUCUUUAUUCAUAGCCAAGUCAGAUAGAAAGAAACUAAAAGAGUUACCCAAAGGGGGUACAGCCCCUUUAGGACAAGACACAACUUCCCCAGGAGGAUAAAGAUCAGAACAAUAAUAGGAGAGCAUGUUUUAGUGGGCCUAAGAGCAGCCACCCCUAAUGAAAGCGUUAUAGCUCAAACACCCUCCCCAUCCACAGAUUCCGACAAUAACAUCUCAACCCCUAAUAAUACCAGGCCGUCCCAUGCCCCCAUGGGAGUGACCAUGCUAGUAUGAGUAAUAAGAGAAUUAGACUCUCUCCCCGCAUACGUGUACGUCGGAACGAACCCCCACCGAUCCUUAACGGACCCAAUACAAAGAGGAAAUAGGGCCACACGAUAGAGAACAAGAAAAACACCCUAAAAUUAACCGUUAACCCUACACCGGUAUGCCUGUAAGGAAAGACUAAAAAGGAAAGAAGGAACUCGGCAAACACUUACAAGCCUCGCCUGUUUACCAAAAACAUCGCCUCUUGCAAAAUCAACAAAUAAGAGGUCCCGCCUGCCCUGUGACUAUAUGUUUAACGGCCGCGGUAUUUUGACCGUGCGAAGGUAGCGCAAUCACUUGUCUUUUAAAUGGAGACCUGUAUGAAUGGCACGACGAGGGCUUAACUGUCUCCUUUCCUAAGUCAAUGAAAUUGAUCUCUCCGUGCAGAAGCGGGGAUAGACCCAUAAGACGAGAAGACCCUAUGGAGCUUCAGACACUAAAACAGCUCAUGUUAAAAACCCUCACAAAAGAGGCCAAACUAGAUGACCCCUGUCCUAAUGUCUUUGGUUGGGGCGACCACGGGGUAACAAAAAACCCCCGCGCGGAACAGAAACACUGUUUCCAGAACCAAGAGCACCCGCUCUAAGUAACAGGACCCACUUGACCUUUGAGAUCCGGCACUAGCCGAUCAACGGACCGAGUUACCCUAGGGAUAACAGCGCAAUCUUCUUCGAGAGUUCAUAUCGACGAGAGGGUUUACGACCUCGAUGUUGGAUCAGGACAUCCUAAUGGUGCAGCCGCUAUUAAGGGUUCGUUUGUUCAACGAUUAAAGUCCUACGUGAUCUGAGUUCAGACCGGAGCAAUCCAGGUCAGUUUCUAUCUAUGAUACCAUUUUUUCUAGUACGAAAGGACCGAAAAAAAAAAGGCCUAGCCUAAAAGGAUGCCUUUCCCUCACCUAAUGAAAACAACUUAACUAGCCAAGAGGGGGUAUAACCACAAAGCCUGAAACCAAGGCAC